ACAAAAAUAAACUUUAAAAGUUCUGAUCAUAAAGCUGUUAUUCAUUCCAAAUCCUCUCCUGAGAUUAUUCUGAGAUUUGAAAGUGGGCCUGGUGCUGUAAUACACUCUUUGCUUGCAG